UGGGCUGCUGGCCCUUUAAGGAUGAUGCAGCGGGACCAGCUGAUGUAGGACGAGCUGACCGUCCGCGCGCCCGCGCGCGCCUCCCCCGCCCGCUGCCCGUCCUCAUCAUGGCCUCCGCUCAGCCCACGGCACCGAGGAGCGACCGACCACCCAGCGGCCCUGCCCUUCCCGCGGCGGACACGGACGUCAGGCCGAAGCAGCGGCACCGGUAGAGGCGAAGCCGCCUUCCGCCCCCCCGCCCCGGUCUCCUCCAUGCCUCCGUCCGAAGCCAAGCCCAGAUAUCCGACAAAGAGGGCUGCCAAGCCGGGCGGCGGCGGAGCCAUGAGCCGGGAUUAUUCCGUUAACCUGUCGGUCCAGCAGGUGCUGAGCCUCUGGGUCCACGGCGCGAGCCUGCAGCACUUCACAGAGAUGUGGUACUGGGUUUUCCUGUGGUGUCUCUUCUCCUCGCUCUUCAUCCACGGCGUCGGCAGCCUGCUGAUGUUGGUCAUGCUGCAGCGCCACAAGUGGGGGCGUCUCAUCACCAUGGUGCUGGUCAGCGUGGGCUUCCUGGCCUCCCUCUCUGGAGGCGUCAUCACCAGCGCGGCAGUGGCGGGCGUUUACCGCGUGGCGGGGAAGGACAUGGCUCCGCUGGAGGCCCUGGUGUUCGGAGUGGGUCAGACCACCCUGUCAGUCGUUAUCUCCUUCUCUCGCAUCCUGGCCACCCUGUGAGGAAGACUUUUAGCGGGAUGAAGGACGGAUGCAGACGGAGGAGAGGUCCAGCAGGGACUCGGAUGCAGGAGACGGCGCCCUCUACUGAUUCUGGAGUACUAAUGCAGCUGUCUGCGGUUGAUUUGAAAGCCUGAGAUUCUAGAACUUCAUCUGUUCCCGGAGCCAUAAUCCUGCCGCUGCCGCCGCCUCUCUGCUGCAGGAGGAAUCCCUGUCGACCUGAGAUGUUCACAGAAGGAAGAACCAACAGUCAUCGCCGCCACGCUGGUGGAGCUUCACAGCUUCAGCCUCCAGCUCAGAGGAAGAAAGUUUGGAGUUCAGCACUUUGUGAGGAAGAGGAGCAGAAAACCAGCAAACAUUUGAUCAGAUGCGUGAAGAUUCCUGAUGUUCCAGCAGGAGAUCAGACGUCUGAGCUGCUUCUGGACUAAAAGCAGCUCGGUCGGCGUUGGAGGAGGAGCUUUCUCCAGGAAACGAUCGUCUCUUUUCUCCAGUAGAGUUUAAGAAUGACUGAAGCAAACCAGAGUCAGCACAUAGAUGUAGGAGAAUAGACGCUGCGCCGGCUUCACCCCUCUGUGGAACCGACGCAUCAGAAGGUCGGCCAUGUUGUGGGGUGCAGGUCUGCUCAGACGUCGGCUUUAAAUGAACGAUCCUAAAUCUGUUGGAUUUGGGGGAAAAAAGAUGUCAGGAGGUUCGAGGUGUUUGGAAAAAUGUUCCAAUCAGCUCCAGACUAAAAUGGAAUCCAGGUCAGUUUGAUCCAAGCAGCAGAAGCCAGAUCAGCGCUGAGGAACCUUUGGAACCUUUGGAAGCACAAACCUGAGCGCAUUUUAUCUGGAUUUUAUCCGAUCAUGAAGUUACGCGUAGUUUUCAUGACGUUUUGAUGGGUUCUUGGGUUUAACUCCAUCAAACUUGACCAGCUUCUGUGACAGCAUGAUGCUGCCACCACCGAGUGUGAGGAUGUUUUCUGUGUAGCAGGAUGGUUCCGUUUCUGGUCUCCUUUUCCCAGGCUGGCUGUCCCUCCUAAUUGGAACAAACUCCAAACAGGAAUCUUCUCUCUAUCUUCUUGCUGCUCUUUCAUGAGGAGAACAUUUGGACCGGUAGUUCCCCCUGAUCAGCGGAUCCCUGCAGCUCCUCCAGAGUCACUCAAUCUAAACAGCUUCAUUUCUUCUCAGUUUAAUUCGAAGACAUCCGGACUUUAAUUAGGUGACUUGUGUUCAUUAUUUAGGGGUAUCAGACUAAAAGGGGCUGAAAAUGUUCACCUCACGGAUGUUUUUUUCCCAGAGGAACUUUAAAAAGUUUCAUUUAUUUUAGAUUUAUGAUCUGCUUGUUGGUUUAUCACUGGAAAUUGAAGUUUUAUGGUUUUAAAAGGUAGAAUGUUGGAGUUUCUAAACGGAGUCUGAUAGCAGAACCACGGCGUUCGGAUCCUGCCUGGUCACAGAAACAGGAAGUAGACUGAGACGAUCCUCGCCGGUCGGUUGUUAACCCUUUAAGCUCCUCUGAGUUUAUUCUGCCGUUUUUUUGGGCCUGAUGACGCAUGAGGAGUUUAUUCCUCUCGGAUGUUUUCCUGUACAGGAAUCUUUCCGUCGGGUCAAAUGCCAAAGUUUCCCGUAGAUCAAAGCUUUAUUCAUCAGAUUUAUUUUUUCUCCACAAUCUUUUUGUUUUGUUCUUUUUCUGAAACAUUUGCACCUUUCAGACGUUUGUUCUGAAUCUAAUCUCUGUGCCAUGUGUGUGUGUGUGUGUGUGUGCUCUGCAUUAUGUAACGGACCUGCAGUACCAGCUCAGUGCACAGGGGGGCAGUGCUCCCCUGCAGAGAGAGCAGCAGUGGUUUUGGAUCAGAACUUUCUGAAUGUUUGAACCAGCAUGGCUGCUCGGACGGUUCCGUUUCCAGGAACCCAAUCAUGACGAUGCUGCUGAUUGACCCGCUGACCCGUCUGAGGCAGAAACUGACUCCAAAGCUGGUUCCGAAGGUCCAAAUCAGCUUGGAAUGGUUGUACAAACGAUUCAACGUGUGCAAAGCGUGUAAAUGCUGUAAGAUACACCCUUUUUUAAUUUUAUACCAACCAGACCGUUGAUAUUUAUAACUACUGCCUAUUUAUGUACAAACUCUUCUCCUGUGCUGUAAAUAUUCUACAGUCAGAUGAAAUAAAACUUUUUGCAAUAUGAAAUAUAUGAAUAAUAA